rnacentral:rRNA from 1 species
GGGAACGUGCCCUUCGGUUCGGAAUAACUCAGGGAAACUUGAGCUAAUACCGGAUACGCCCUUUUGGGGAAAGGUUUACUGCCGAAGGAUCGGCCCGCGUCUGAUUAGCUAGUUGGUGGGGUAAUGGCCCACCAAGGCGACGAUCAGUAGCUGGUCUGAGAGGAUGAUCAGCCACACUGGGACUGAGACACGGCCCAGACUCCUACGGGAGGCAGCAGUGGGGAAUAUUGGACAAUGGGCGAAAGCCUGAUCCAGCCAUGCCGCGUGAGUGAUGAAGGCCUUAGGGUUGUAAAGCUCUUUCGACGGGGACGAUAAUGACGGUACCCGUAGAAGAAGCCCCGGCUAACUUCGUGCCAGCAGCCGCGGUAAUACGAAGGGGGCUAGCGUUGCUCGGAAUCACUGGGCGUAAAGGGCGCGUAGGCGGCCGAUCAAGUCAGAGGUGAAAGCCCAAGGCUCAACCUUGGAAUUGCCUUUGAUACUGUUUGGCUAGAGACCGGAAGAGGUAAGUGGAACUGCGAGU